CAAUCACGUGGCAGACAUGACUCCUUCCCUUCCUUUCUCUCGAGAUAUAAUGAUAAUAGAAAGCCGCCUCCCCACCGACAAGAGUGGUGUUAGAAAGGCCCCCCCUUUUCCAUUCUCCACUCAUAUAAAUAAAUAAAUAAAAUUCGAAUCCUUUGAUUCUGUGAGAUUAACUGCUGCUCCUGCUGCUAAAGCUAAAAAGAAGAGUUGGCUCGCAGAUAUGCUUCAUCAAUCACUUCCGCUCCUCUGUGAUUUCAAAAUUGCUGAUAACACACUUCUCUCUGUCUCGCAUUUCUCAAACAACAUCAACAACAACAGUAUCGGCUCUUCUCGUGUUCUCGAUGUGGGAUUGAAAUUCAGUAAACAAUCAUCCGGCGGCGGAAGCAGUGCGCGAGGAUUCUCCAGCAAGGCUGGAGCCAAGACCACUACAGCACCUAAUGUUUACGGUCGUCGUGCUCAAGAAAGUGUGCUUGAGCAGGAAGAAGCACCUCAAAAGUUGGGGUUUAAAACAUUCCCAGGUCAGGCAUUUCCAUUUGGUGUUUCACAAGUUGAAAAUGGGAUCAAUUUUGCUAUAUUUUCGCAGCACGCCACUGCUGUUACACUUUGCUUAACACUCCCUCACAGGGGCGAGUCCGAAAGGACGGAUGGUGGAAUGAUUGAGGUGGCAUUGGAUCCCAAAGUUAACAAAACUGGAGACAUUUGGCACAUAUGCAUUGAGGAUUUACCACGGGACGACGUGCUUUAUGGUUAUAAGAUAGAUGGUCCUCGAGAUUGGCGUCAAGGACAUCGAUUUGAUAGCAGCAUCAUGCUUAUUGAUCCUUAUGCUAAGCUAGUUGAAGGUCGCCGAUUUUUUGGUGAUGCCAGCCGUAAGCUGUCAAAAUUUUAUGGAACUUAUGACUUUGAUAGCUUGCCUUUUGAUUGGGGUGAUGACUACAAGCCUCCAAAUAUACCAGAGAAAGAUCUUGUUAUAUAUGAAAUGAAUGUCCGUGCGUUUACAGUUGAUAAAUCCAGUGGCUUGGAUCCAAGUAUACGUGGAAGUUACCUUGGCGUAAUUGAGAAGAUCCCACAUCUUCUAGAGCUUGGUGUCAAUGCAGUGGAGCUGCUGCCUGUGUUUGAAUUUGAUGAAUUUGAGUUUCAGAGGCGCCCAAAUCCAAGAGAUCACAUGAUCAAUACAUGGGGCUAUUCAACAAUAAAUUUCUUUGCUCCAAUGAUUCGGUAUGCUAGUAGAGGUGGUGGACCUCGUAAUGCAUCUCGGGAGUUCAAGGAAAUGGUUAAAGCCUUGCAUGGUGCCGGAAUUGAGGUUAUUUUGGAUGUAGUCUAUAACCAUACAAAUGAGGCUGAUGACGAAAAUCCUUUUACAACUUCAUUUCGCGGAAUCGAUAAUAAGGUUUAUUACAUGGUUGACCUCAACAAUAAUGGCCAGUUGCUGAAUUUCUCUGGAUGUGGGAACACAUUAAACUGUAAUCAUCCUGUGGUCAUGGAGCUCAUCCUAGACAGCUUAAGACACUGGGUCAUUGAAUAUCAUGUGGAUGGAUUUAGAUUUGACCUUGCCAGUGUACUUUGCCGAGGAGCAGAUGGUUCUCCACUUAACGCUCCCCCACUUAUUAGGGCAAUUGCAAAAGAUUCCAUCCUGUCAAGAUGUAAAAUUAUUGCAGAGCCUUGGGAUUGUGGAGGCCUUUAUCUGGUUGGAAAUUUUCCAAAUUGGGACAGAUGGGCUGAAUGGAAUGGCAAGUACCGUGAUGACAUAAGAAAAUUUAUUAAGGGUGAUUCUGGUAUGAAAGGAAGUUUUGCUACCCGGGUUGCUGGAUCUGCUGACCUUUACAGAACUAAUAAGCGCAAGCCUUGUCAUAGUGUUAAUUUUGUUAUUGCACAUGAUGGAUUCACCCUGCGUGAUCUUGUUUCAUACAAUUUCAAGCACAAUGAUGCUAAUGGAGAAGGUGGAAAUGAUGGAUGCAAUGACAAUUUUAGCUGGAAUUGUGGAUUUGAAGGAGAAACUGAUGAUCAUAAUAUUAAAGCUUUGCGCUUCCGGCAAAUGAAAAACUUCCAUUUAGCAUUAAUGAUAUCUCAGGGAACACCAAUGAUGCUUAUGGGGGACGAAUAUGGACACACUCGCUAUGGAAAUAACAACAGUUAUGGGCAUGACACCUCUAUUAACAAUUUCCAGUGGGGGCUCGCAGUUGGAUGCAGAGAAGAUUAGUCACUUCAGGUUCUUCUCAGAGGUCAUAAAGUUUCGACAGACACAUGGAGUAUUUACUCAUGACAAUUUUCUCAGCGAAAAUGAUGUGACAUGGCAUGAGAACAACUGGGAGAAUCACGAAAGCAAAUUUCUUGCAUUUACGCUUCAUGACAAAAAUGGAGGAGAUAUCUAUCUGGCUUUCAAUGCUCAUGACUAUUUUGUUAAAGUUUCAAUACCCCCACCACCACCCAAGAGGCGUUGGCUUCGUGUGGUAGACACCAAUUUUGAAUCUCCGGAUGACUUUGUUCCUCAAGGUCUCCCAGGCAUUGGAAGCACCUAUAAUGUGGCUCCAUACUCUUCAAUUCUUCUUGAAGCUAAAAACUGACAGAACCUGAAGCUGAUCACCGAUGAAUAUUCUGAAUGACCUGCCUGGUCUGGAGAAUCGCAAAAUCUUCCCUGGGAAAUGCUCAGAUUCAUGGCAUCAGGUUAUGGUUACAGUACUUGAUGUAGAUGUCACUUUACCCUGGAUGAAUGCAAUCAAAGAGAUUUGAGAGAGCAUGGAGGUUUAUCAUUGCUACAAUGUGACUAAUGCCCGCUCAUUCCUUUGUUGCAUCAACUAAUAAAAAAUACUCAACUUGAGCAACAAGUAGAAUAUGCCCUACUCGAUGUAGGUGCUGCUGUGUGCAUGUUAUGCAUGAGCUGUGUAAUACUGAGAUGAACUCUGGGGUCCUACAGCUGGUAAUUCCUAAAUAGAGUAGAAAGAAUGUCGAAAGAUUACUAAAAAAUAAUACACUGAUAGUAAUAAUUACGAUGAUAAUGUUAAUUAUAAUUAUUUUUUGG